GUCAUUCGCCGAUCGGUGUCGAAGCCCCGCCCCCCGGCGCCGUGUCUUUAUAAGCAUCGUGGCGUCGUUUCUGUGCGUCUCUAGAGUCUUGAUCGCGUUUGGAGGCACAACGCUCAUCCAAACCACCGCCGCAUCCAUAACUGCGACAUCACAGAUCGGACACGAUGUCUGACGAAGGGAAACUAUUUAUCGGUGGAUUGAGUUUCGAUACCACCGAACAGUCGCUAGAGGACGCCUUCGCCAAAUAUGGAGUGAUCACCAACGUUCACGUGGCCAGAAACCGAGAGACCAACAAAUCCCGAGGGUUUGGGUUCGUGACCUUUGAGAAUCCAGAUGACGCUAAAGACGCUCUGGAGGGAAUGAACGGAAAGUCUGUAGACGGGCGGACCAUCCGUGUGGAUGAGGCUGGAAAGGGCGGCGGUGGCCGAUCGGGUGGAGGAUCUUACAGAGGUGGUGGUGGAGGAGGAGGAAGAGGUGGAGGAGGAGGAUACUUCAGAGGAGGACGAGGUAGAGGAGGUGGUGGUGGAUACGGAGGUGGUGACCGUGGUUACGGGGGCGGCGACCGCAGUUAUGGAAGCGACCGGAGCUACGGCGGCGGGGGAGGAUACAAGAGCGGUGGAGGCGGAGGAGGAGGGGGCGGUGGCUACAGCAGAGACCGGAGUUCAAGUUAUGGUGACCGGGGCGGAUCAUACAGAGACAGUUAUGAAUGAGUUCUGGUGAAGUUCUUAUGGAAUGCUGCAACUGGAACAUCAAAGCGCUUCAGUGAUGUUCAGACUCACAAGUCAAGUCUGAGAUUCUCAGAAGAUCUUCCACACAGACCGUGCUGAUGGAGAAAACCAAGCGUCGACUCUUUCAAUAAACGUUGCCUUGGCGAUAACGUGAUGUGGAACAACAGAGUCUAAAAACAUGUUGGUUUAAAGACUGUGGAGAAGAGAAUGAAAUCAGCAUUCCUGCGACUCUUGUAUUGUGAUUUAUUCACAACUAAACACAGGUGAUUGAAGUGAUGAGUUUUGGAAGAACAGUGGUCAUGUUCAUAAUAUUGAAUAAAACACUAUUUACUUUUCUUCA